rnacentral:lncRNA from 12 species
GGCAAAGGUCAGGCUGGCCACAGGGGAAAGAAACCUCAGGGCUUCAGCCAGUGGAUUGUGGUGCUGCUGAUUCCACGGGAUCUCUGCUGGAGCCACCUCUGCAAACCGCCCUGGGCAGAGCUUCUGGAAUGAGAGAUGGGA